GGACGGCACCUGACCUUCAUUGAGUAUGGAUACUAUCUUCUUCACGUCUUCAACGGUUCCAUUCUACAUCCGAAUUCAAUUCAAAACAAACAAUCGAGUAAACCUCCUUCCACAUUUUCAAAUUACAUCAAAAACUGAAAAAUCCAUGUAUUUCCAGUGGCUGCCGACAAAAAGCUUCCUGGCCAUCGUUGUUCGAGAGAGUGAUCUCCGAUUUCGCUUGCUCACUGUAGAAAGUAGCUUCCGGAGACGAGAAAUUCUCGUACUGGGGCCAUAAUAAAGUAAUAAACCAAUUCAUGGCCAUAAUAAUUAAACUAAGUAUUAGCAUCAUUUGAAUCAGACUUAUAACCGCACCUUCAAAUACGGAGACCUCGCACUACUACUCCCGUUGGCUGAUGAAACUCCAUCUUAU
rnacentral:misc_RNA from 1 species